UUUUGGUAUAUUUUGCAGCUUGCUUUGGAAUGAUAAUUCAGAAAUUCGGGGUUUUUUUUUUUACUUGGAAAGGACUUAUAGCCGACGAAAAAAGCUUUAAUUCGUCGGCUAAAGUUUGUUUAUUUUUUUUAAAAUAACUUUUAGCCGACGAAAUAUGCUCUAAUUCGUCGGCUAAAUGCCUAUAAAGCCGACGAAAUAUACUAUAUUUCGUCGGCCAUAGAUCUUUUUUUAUUUUUUUUAUUACAAACUUUAGCCGACGAAUAUUUUAAAGUUUGGCAGAUAACCGACGACAAAAAUGUCGUCGGCUAAAGUCUGGACUAUAGCCGACGAAAUAAUGUCGUCGGCUAAAGUCUGGACUAUAGCCGACGACUUAUACGUGUGUCGUCGGCUAAAGUCACCACAGACGAGCUUUUCCCGACGAAAUCUUAGCCGACGAACCUUCGUCGGCUAAGAUCUUAGCCGACGAAAUAAGCUGACAGGCCGACGAAGAAUUUUCGUCGGCUAAAAUGCUUGUCCUGGUAGUGAUGAUAUAUUUAUCAAACCACCUAAACUAUAUAUAUUGGUCGACUCAAGUGCACGUGUUCAAAGUUUUGCAUAACUAAUCACUUGAACCAACUAACAAUCUACUUCAUCAAUCACCAGGUCGUGAUAUAAUUCAUUAGUAACCACCGAAAAAAAAAAAAAGCAAAACACCAGAAGCUAAUGCACCAACAUCAUUUCAACAUAAUAUAACAAUAACAAAGUUCCAUAAUAUUCCAAAUAACUCGAAAUAUAGCCAUAGUACCAAUUCAGCAAACAAUAACCAUAAUACUAUACUUUUUGACAUAACAUAAAUUGAAAGGUCUCAAGAAGUUAUUAUUUUCAAAACAAAGCAACAACAAAGGGAAGAUUGCUCAAAUGACAGACUUAGUCUAAGCCUCCAUUCACUCUAAGCCACAUUAGGGGUGGCACUUCGGAACCGAAAACCGAAAAAAACCGAGCCGAAAACCAAACCGAAACCGCAAAAACCGCACCGAAAAAAAACCGGGCCGAACCAGAUAUGUUCAGUUCGGUUUUCGGUUUGGGUCCAGCAAAAACCGAACCAGACCGAGAAAACCGAAGUCAAUGAUUUUGCCGGUCAACGUUUCAAAACGAGGUCGUUUUGGUUUUUUUCCC
rnacentral:lncRNA from 1 species